UAGAGUGGCAAGCAUGCUUAAUUACUUCUUGUGGAUGAUCUGGAGGUUGCGUGGAUCGACUGGGAAGUGACUGAAAUCCAUGGCCACCAUGCCACGAUCAUUACAACUAAUGAGAAAACAAUUUUAUAGGUGAUGUUGCUUGCACAUUUCAGGCGAUUGAUGCGAGAGUUUACACAUAUGCAUGACCAAGCUGCUCAUCCAACCUGAUUCUUGGACCAAGCAUAGGUUGUGGG